GACGAACGCUGGCGGCGUGCUUAACACAUGCAAGUCGAACGAAGUGGCGAACGGGUGAGUAACGCGUAAUCAACCUGCCCUUCAGAGGGGGACAACAGUUGGAAAUGACUGCUAAUACCGCAUACUGAAGGAUGUGAUUGCGUCUGAUUAGCUAGUUGGAGGGGUAACGGCCCACCAAGGCGAUGAUCAGUAGACGGUCUGAGAGAGUGAACGGUCACAUUGGGAAUGAGACAAGGCCCAGAAUCCUACGGGAGGCAGCAGUGGGGAAUCUGCCGCAAUGGAGGAAAGUCUGACGGCGGAACGCCGCGGUAGAGAUGACGGCCUUCGGGUUGUAAAGCUCUGUUAAUCGGGACGCGGUACCGGAAUAGAAAGCCACGGCUAACUACGUGCCAGCAGCCGCGGUAAUAC
rnacentral:rRNA from 1 species